UCGAACGAGAAAGUGGAGCAAUCCAUGAGUAAAGUGGCGUACGGGUGAGUAACACGUGACUAACCUACCCUUGAGUGGGGAAUAACCUCGGGAAACCGGGGCUAAUACCGCAUAACACCUUCGGGUCAAAGGAGCAAUUCGCUUAAGGAGGGGGUCGCGGCUGAUUAGCUAGUUGGUGGGGUAAUGGCCUACCAAGGCAAUGAUCAGUAUCCGGCCUGAGAGGGCGCACGGACACACUGGAACUGAAACACGGUCCAGACUCCUACGGGAGGCAGCAGUGGGGAAUUUUGCACAAUGGGGGAAACCCUGAUGCAGCAACGCCGCGUGGAGGAUGAAGUCCCUUGGGAUGUAAACUCCUUUCGACCGGGACGAUAAUGACGGUACCGGUGGAAGAAGCCCCGGCUAACUCUGUGCCAGCAGCCGCGGUAAUACAGAGGGGGCAAGCGUUGUUCGGAAUUAUUGGGCGUAAAGGGUGCGUAGGCGGUGCGGUAAGUCUUCUGUGAAAUCUCCGGGCUCAACUCGGAGCCUGCAGGAGAAACUGCCGUGCUUGAGCAUGGGAGAGGUGAGUGGAAUUCCUGGUGUAGCGGUGAAAUGCGCAGAUAUCAGGAGGAACACCUGUGGCGAAAGCGGCUCACUGGACCAUAACUGACGCUGAGGCACGAAAGCUAGGGGAGCAAACAGGAUUAGAUACCCUGGUAGUCCUAGCCCUAAACGAUGAUUGCUUGGUGUAGCAGGUACCCAAUC
rnacentral:rRNA from 1 species